UGGGGGAUAUUGGACAAUGGGGGGAACCCUGAUCCAGCGACGCCGCGUGAGUGAAGAAGUAUUUCGGUAUGUAAAAGCUCUAUCAGCAGGGAAGAAAGAAAUGACGGUACCUGAGUAAGAAGCCCCGGCUAACUACGUGCC
rnacentral:rRNA from 1 species